rnacentral:lncRNA from 1 species
UCAGCCAGUAGGUGUACAUACACCACCUCUUCAGCACUGAGUCUCCAGUCGGCAUCAAUAUCCCUUCAAGUACGCCUCCUUCAACGUCACGAUCUCUGCGACGUCGAACCGGUCGAAGAUGAAGCUGUCCACGCUGCUGAUGGUGAUGCUGGCGGCUUGUCUGCUGCUGCAGGUGACGGUUGUCGGCGGUCAUUCUCAGGGACAGGAUUCUGAUUGUGAUGACAGCGAGAGCUGGGAUGACGUGGUGGCUGGCUGUACAAGCACGGAGACCCCGGGAACUACAACCCCGAACCUUGGCGGUGGUCGUAAAUAGCGGGACAAGACUUAGCCAGACGACUGCAGUGCUAGCAAAACUCGCAGGCACCGUUCAGUCGACCGGCGGACAACGGAGCCGAUGGGGCAUCGGAUCCAAGUUUCUUCCAGUCCAGGGUUCAACAUGCAGACUGAGCUUGCGCACAAAGGAGACUCCCACAAAUAAUAAUGGCUUAGCUGUUGUCUUUAAAGCCUGCUGAAAAUGCUUGUCGCUUCAGCUGUCGUUUGAUGAUGUUGGAAUGAUACAGGGUGUUUCACAAUAAAUGUUACUUUUGAAUAGCUUAAAUGAAGAUCUUACUUGUUCGUAAGCGCGUAAAUUUUAUAUGCAUUUUGCUACAAAUUUGUAGCGGUUUUUAGUCCUUACAUUUUUUUUUUUUUACAAACCGUCAACGGUUCCAUCAGUAUGGACGUGCAAUGCCAACACCGUCAAAACGGGUCAAUUCGCCGUGUACAGAUGAUGAGGCGGUAUGGGUGGUCAUGCAUUACGGCGCUUUGCGGAGUCUGACCGCAGUGCGACGGAGUUUCGGUAGCCAUUUAAAAGGAGGAAGGAUAUUCCGUCAAAAAUGUCUUUCAAACGGGUAGUAGAAAGGUUCCAGAAGACUGGAAACACGAGACCAGCCCCGACUCCUGGCCGGACGGCGAUCCCAGAGAAUCUGGUUGAAAAAGUCAGACGGAAGGGUGGCAUAGUGGAGAACCCGUGAAGGGUGCUGAACUGAAAGUUUUAUGUUCAUCAGUCCUACUGUUCUGCUGUCUCAUGAGGUAAUACUCAUUAGCCAUAUUGUAAUACAUGCCACUGAAACAUCGUCGUUUGAAAAGCAACAUUCAUUGUGAAGGACCCUGAAGCUUAACAGCGAAUUGACCUGUUUUGAUGGUGUGGACAUUGCACGUACAUAAAGAAUGCAGUUGAUGAUUCGUCAUAGUUUUUGUAAGGAUAAAAAACCCGAAAGAAUUUGCAACAAAAUGAAUCUGGAAUUUAUGGGCAUACGAAUAGCUGAGGUCAUUUUAAAAGCUUAUCAAAAGUAACGUUUAUUGUGAAACACCCUGUAUAAUGAAGUGAGCAUGUCGCUCUUGAUGGCGCCACGUCAAAUUUCUAUUGAUAUGAAGUAAAUGUUUAACGGUAAAUAUAUGUCUUUUUGCCCUCUAGAACAGUCAAUACAAUCGAUUUUUUAUCGAUACCUUCAUUGACAUUCGCCAAAUGUUGUAAAUUAAAUAUCGCCCACCAAGUAACACAUAACGCGCACAUGCCUGACGCGGCCGAUGGGGCUUCUCCCCAGAACGGCAGUGGAAGACACACCGACUGUCUGUCUCGUUUUAUGUAUAUGGGUCUGUAGGGAUGGAGGCAAGGCCAUAUAGGUAUAGGGAUGGAGGCCUAUCGACAUUUUCUGCAUUUAAACAUGAGCGCAAUGACAUGGCAUGGUGAGGAUUACCUUGGUAUCCUGAAAUUAAUAAACAGCCGUACCAAUAAUUUUCGGAAAGUGACGCCCCUGUACCGGCCACGUUUUCGUGCCGAGAUGUGCUUUGCAACCGGCGGUCUGUGUUCAUUGAAUAAAACACUUUUCGUCA